rnacentral:rRNA from 1 species
CAAUAGCGUAUAUUAAAGUUGUUGCGGUUAAAAAGCUCGUAGUUGGAGUUCUGCCAGGUGCCGCCUGUCCGCCCCAGUGGUGAGUACGUGGCGCGCAUUUGGCCCUUUCAAGGGGAGCGUAUCUGCACUUUAUUGUGUGGUGCGGGAUCCUUGACUUUUACUUUGAGGAAAUAGGAGUGUUCCAAGCAGGCUCUCGUCGUGCACAGCUCAGCAUGGAAUAAUAGCAUUGGACCUCGAUUCUAAGCUGUUGGUUGCCAGAAGCGAGGUAAUGAUGAAGAGGGAUAGUUGGGGGCAUUCGUAUUUAACUGUCGGAGGUGAAAUUCUUGGAUUUGUUAAAGACGGACUACUGCGAAAGCAUCUGCCAUGGAUGUUUUCACUGA